ACACAUGUAUAAAAUAGGGAACAAUUGAAUGCACAGUUAACACUAGAGUACUUAAAUACCUCAACACUUUAACUUCAGUGAGGUUUUGAAUGCAGGAUGUUUACUGGGUUAUUUCCACACUGUGGUAUUCAUGUUUUCAAUAACUCUGUUGAGCUUGUUUUUAGCUCUAUUUCUAUCUCACUGAACAGAGUCCCUGGAUGUGAACUGGUUCAGCUGAUAAGGCUGGUUAUAAAACAAAGGGAGGAGCUGCAGACAGGUAAAGGUGUUAAAGUCCAAUUAAGAAGUCGGACUGCCAGACGUCAUUUUACAGCUCGCCGGAGCAGAAGGAGAACAACGGGACUGUAGAAGAUGAGUGGUGUAAAAGAAGAGGAAGAGGACAAAUCUUCAGUCUCCAGCUUUCUGUCUCUGAAGAGUGACCGGUCUAUGGGUCGUCCUCCAGUCUUCAGUAAUGAACCUGGACCCUCAGACACAAAGUAAGAGUCUCUACUGUAACCUGACCUGAAGAGGAUCCAGUUUUGAUGUAAUCUAAUAUAUUAAACUGUUCUUUAAUGAUAUCAUGUGAGCAGUUUGUAAAGGGAAAACGCAGCAGAGUAAGCUAACAUUAUCUAAGGAUAUUUCAUUAUGCAAUUAUAUUAUCAUUGUAUCUGUGUAUAAAAUGGUUUUAAAUAGCAACAAUGUUGAUAAAUACUGAUUUAAAAACUA